GCAUCCGGAAUAAUUGGCCGACAGCUUUGACCUCGGACUUCUAAUCCGACGGUCGCGGGUUCGAAUCCUGCCGGGCGCGCCA
rnacentral:tRNA from 1 species